ACGCUUGACACCGAGCGGUGACACGUAGAGAAUGACACCCUCGACAACCAAACCCCAAGGCAGUGGAGUAGAGACAGAGAAAAGAAAAGGCGGAGGUGUUCUUCUCUGCAAGCUCCAGCAAGCCUCAUUGCCCGCCGAUCUUUCUUCAGUCGAUCCAGUUCCUGUUGUUCCGGAACGGGGAUUUCACUCGGAUUAUGCGAUAAUCUCCAAUCGAUAAGGCUAGGUGGAGACAAGAAGUAAAAAUGAAGGAUGAAGCCCUCUCACUGUCCAACUCUGAAAGAACUAAGCAAGAAAAAAUUGAGACUUCAGCGAAAUCACAUGAAAAUGCAUCAAUAGUGAAAGAAGAAAAUGACUUACAGAAGUACAAAAAUGAUAUCCGGAGGCUUGAGCAGCAGACUCUGCAAUUGCGGUUAAUGAUAGACUCCUCAAAGUUUGCAACAUUAAAAUGGGGCAUGAAUAAAAGUUAUGCGUCAUGCCUUUCUGAUGGAAGAAAGAGCAGUAAUGCAUAUUAUUUGACAAAGGUUAUUUCCCAGGACCUGGGAUCUGACGACAUACAGCCCGAACGAGAGUGCGUGAUGUGCUUGGCUGAAGAGAUGUCUGUCAUUUUCCUUCCUUGUGCUCACCAAGUUGUUUGCACCAAAUGCAAUGAGCUUCAUGAGAAGCAGGGUAUGAAGGAUUGUCCUUCAUGUAGGACAUCCAUCCAGCGGAGAAUUUCUGUACGUUCUGCUGACUCUUAGCUUGCAUAUACAUUCUGAGCUCGAUUGAGUUAAAGAGUUCAGAAAUAAUGUUAUGUGAGACUUUAAAAUGAAUAAUGCAUCCUAGAACAUUUUACACUGGAUAUGGACAAACAAUUGCUCAACAAAUUGCAAUCUUUUUUUGGUACAUC